rnacentral:rRNA from 1 species
UACGUAGGGGGCGAGCGUUGUCCGGAUUUAUUGGGCGUAAAGCGCGUGUAGGCGGCCAGAUAGGUCUGCUGUGAAAACUCGAGGCUCAACCUCGAGCUGUCGGCGGAAACCAUCUGGCUAGAGUCCGGAAGAGGAGAGUGGAAUUCCUGGUGUAGCGGUGAAAUGCGCAGAUAUCAGGAAGAACACCGAUGGCGAAGGCAGCUCUCUGGGACGGUACUGACGCUGAGGAGCGAAAGCGUGGGGAGCGAACAGG